CCAAUCGAACCCGGAGAUAGCUGGUUCUCCUCGAAAUAGCUUUAGGGCUAGCCUCAUGGAUCAUUGGUGGGGGUAGAGCACUGAAUGUGCGCGGGGGCCACAAAGCCUACCAAACGCUAUCAAACUUCGAAUACCAUACAAUGCAGACCAUGGGAGUCAGUCCGCGAGAGAUAAGUUCCGCGGGCAAAAGGGGAACACCCCAGAUCAACCGCUAAGGUCCCCAAGUUCACGUUAAGUGGAGAAGGAUGUGGAAUUGCACAGACAACCAGGAUGUUGGCUCAGAAGCAGCCACACAUUUAAAGAGUGCGUAAUAGCUCACUGGUCGAGUGAUUGUGCGCCGAAGAUGUCCGGGGCUAAACGUGACACCGAAGCGAUGGGUGCAUCUGAAAGGAUGCGCGGUAGAGGAGCAAUGUGCAGAGGCAGAAGCCGUAUCGAGAGGCACGGUGGACACUGCACAAGAGAGAAUGCCGGUAUGAGUAGCGAGAGGCAUGCGAGAAACAUGCCCGUCGAAAGCCCAAGGUUUCCUGGGGAAGGUUCAUCCGCCCAGGGUAAGUCGGGGCCUAAGCCGAGGACGGAAGUCGUAGGCGAUGGACAGCAGGUGUAGAUUCCUGCACUACCGAUGGAAUGAAGCAGUGACACAGAAGGAUAACUCGAGCAGGGUGAUGGUCAACCCUGUGCAAGCAUCAAGGUUGGGUUGUAGUGAAGUACGCAAUCCUAUAAGCUGAGAUGUGAUGCGGACCGAAAUUUCAGUAGGGAAGCGAGUGAGUUCACGCUGGCGAGAAAAGCUGCUAGUAUAUCCAAAGGUACCCGUACCGGAAACCGACGCAGGUGGGCGAGGAGAGAAUCCUGAGACGAACGGGAGAACCCUUGUUAAGGAACUCGGCAAAAUGACCCCGUAACUUCGGGAUAAGGGGUGCCUGCGAGAGCAGGCCGCAGAGAAUAGUCACAAGCGACUGUUUAGCAAAAACACAGGUAUCUGCGAAAGCGAGAGCUGACGUAUAGGUGCUGACACCUGCCCGGUGCUGGAAGGUUAAGGGAACAUGUUAGAGCAAUCGAAGCAUCGAACCGAAGCCCCAGUAAACGGCGGCCGUAACUAUAACGGUCCUAAGGUAGCGAAAUUCCUUGUCGGGUAAGUUCCGACCCGCACGAAUGGUGUAACGACUUGUGAGCUGUCUCAACAGGGGGCCCGGUGAAAUUGAAGUAUGGGUGAAGAUGCCCAUUACCCGCGACUGGACGGAAAGACCCCGUAGAGCUUUACUGCAGCCUGAUAUUGAGUUUCGGUAACUGAUGCACAGGAUAGGUGGGAGUCUGAGAGACAUGGGUUUCGGCUCAUGUGGAGACGGUGUUGGGAUACCACUCUUCGGUUACUGAAAUUCUAACAUAGCUCUGUGAAACCAGAGGAUGGACAGUGUCAGGUGGACAGUUUGACUGGGGCGGUCGCCUCCGAAAGAGUAACGGAGGCGCCCAAAGGUACCCUCAGAAUGGAUGGAAACCAUUCGAAGAGCGCAAAGGCAGAAGGGUGCCUGACUGCGAGAGUGACAACUCGAGCAGAGACGAAAGUCGGGCUUAGUGAUCCGGCGGUAUUGAGUGGAAAAGCCGUCGCUUAACGGAUAAAAGCUACCUCGGGGAUAACAGGCUGAUCUCCCCCAAGAGUCCACAUCGACGGGGAGGUUUGGCACCUCGAUGUCGGCUCAUCGCAUCCUGGGGCUGUAUUCGGUCCCAAGGGUUUGGCUGUUCGCCAAUUAAAGCGGCACGCGAGCUGGGUUCAGAACGUCGUGAGACAGUUCGGUCCCUAUCCAUCGUGGGCGUAGGAGUCAUGAGAGGAGCUGUUCCUAGUACGAGAGGACCGGAAUGGACGCACCACUGGUGCAACUGUUGUCGUGCCAACGGCAUAGCAGGGAAGCGAAGUGCGGAUGGGAUAAACGCUGAAGGCAUCUAAGCGUGAAGCCCACCUCAAGAAUAAGUGUCCCAUUCGAAAGAAGUAAGACCCCUGGAAGACUACCAGGUGAUAGGUCAUCGGUGAAAGAGUGGUAACAUUUGGAGCUUGAUGAUACUAAUCGGUCGAGGACUUGAUCUA
rnacentral:rRNA from 1 species